rnacentral:rRNA from 1 species
CCUACGGGUGGCAGCAGUGAGGAAUAUUGGUCAAUGGUCGAGAGACUGAACCAGCCAAGUCGCGUGAAGGAAGACGGCCCUACGGGUUGUAAACUUCUUUUGUCGGGGAGCAAAGCGAGUCACGUGUGACUCUUUGAGAGUACCCGAAGAAAAAGCAUCGGCUAACUCCGUGCCAGCAGCCGCGGUAAUACGGAGGAUGCGGGCGUUAUCCGGUUUUAUUGGGUUUAAAGGGUGCGCAGGCGGAUGUGCAAGUCAGCGGUCAAAUUGCGGGGCUCAACCCCGUACUGCCGCUGAAACGGCAUCCCUUGAGUGCGCGAGAAGUAUGCGGAAUGCGUGGUGUAGCGGUGAAAUGCAUAGAUAUCACGCAGAACUCCGAUUGCGAAGGCAGCAUACGGGAGCGCAACUGACGCUCAUGCACGAAGGCGUGGGUAUCGAACAGGAUUAGAUACCCCAGUAGUC